UACGGAGGGUGCGAGCGUUAAUCGGAAUUACUGGGCGUAAAGCGCACGCAGGCGGUCUGUCAAGUCGGAUGUGAAAUCCCCGGGCUCAACCUGGGAACUGCAUUCGAAACUGGCAGGCUAGAGUCUGAUAGAGGGAAGUGGAAUUCCAGGUGUAGCGGUGAAAUGCGUAGAGAUCUGGAGGAACACCAGUGGCGAAGGCGGCCCCCUGGACAAAGACUGACGCUCAGGUGCGAAAGCGUGGGGAGCAAACGGG
rnacentral:rRNA from 1 species